GUUUGGUUGAAUAAUCCGUUUUGUCUGAAAAGAAAGGCGAGGGAUAAUAAUAGAUUAAACGCUUUUCAGAAUAACCUUACUCAUAGUUAAUGGUUAAGUACGUUUUUUCACAGAUUUAUCUUAUAAAAAACGCCGGUAUAAAACCGGCAUUUUUAAAUAUA
rnacentral:sRNA from 1 species